UCCCCGAUAGCUCAAUUGGUAGAGCGAGCGGCUGUUAACCGCUAGGUUCCAGGUUCGAGACCUGGUCGGGGAG
rnacentral:tRNA from 1 species